CACACACACACACACACACACACACACACACACACACACACACACACACACACACACACGCCCUCUCUCUCUCUCGCUCUCUGCCACUCCGUCUCUCACUCUCUCUCUCUCUCCCUCUCCUCUCUGCUGCUAUUCUGGGAAGUGGCGUUUGGAAUAACCCCCGUGUGCGAACGAGUGUGUGUGUGUGCGUGUGUGUGUGUCUCCUGAUUUCACCCUCUCACACGCACACAUAGCCUACACACUCAUCACAACACAGUCAGACGCACACAUUGACUGGCUGUCUGACUGCAGUAUAGGCUAGAGGAGCUCCGGCAGCAGAAACCCGGUCGGAAAGGAUUCCGAUUCCAUUUUUACGCGCAACUUUUUUCCCCCUUCCGUCGGCGACGUUUUCCACCGCUUCCCCUCUUCGACUCGUGUGGAUUUCUAACAACUGUUCUCCCGGCUUGGUUUCUACUAACGGACAACCAGCGAAGGUGUCAAGCCCGCCCGGAAUCGGAUCUCCUGUCACCGGGGGUUGCUUGUUGUCAUUAUCGCGCGGAGACGCGCAGCUGGAGCGCAGACGGAAGCGGCUGUGACCAGUUUGUGGACUGGACCGGAGGACAGCUACAUCAGGAUGGCCACGCGAGGAAUCUUUCUGAAACCGAACUGAGCACGUACAGACAAACAGGUACGCACGCUGCCACUAUAACACUUAACCACGUUCAAGAUACUUUUCCUCAGUGAUGUGACUCCUCAGAGGUUGUUACAGGACAGCGGACAGCACAGCAUGAGUUGUGUAACACAGGUUUUGUGGGUGUGAUGAAGUGUGUGAGGUUCCUAAACCCCGGAGUGAAACAGAGCGCCGUGUUUUUCGGGCCAAGAAUGUUCUGAAAAAGCUAAUUUUCCAUCCACAUAUCAAAGUCUUCGUACACGUAACCUGAACGUUCACAUGUGAAGGGUGAGUCAGGGUUGUAUCCUUAACCUUUGGAUGCUCUCCAUACAGCUUGGAGUAUUUUCCACUCGGUGCAUUUCAACUUUGUUUCAAAGCAACAUAAAUCCACUUUAAAGAAAGGCUCCUCGAUAAGAAACAUUAAACAGAAAUUCAUGACUUAUUCUACGAAUGUCAACAUCUGUAUACAGUGAGAUCAGAGGUGCAGCGCAAGUUUUAUUGGGUUGUUUUUGUUUUGCCAACCAUCAUUCUAAAGUUCCGGUUUCCAGCUUUAAUUUAUGAGCGUUUACAUCAGAAACUGUUAUUCAUUUUUACACAGAUUCUUUAAGUAUCAAGGGACAGGACGUAAGUGGAGACAAGUUAGGACAAACUUGAAGUGAAGUCGUUAUUUCAGGGUGAAAGUUAAGUUUAACAAGAAAAUUGACAAAGGUACUUUCCUUUAUUAUGGAGCAUCACCAGCUGGUUUCUGUGCUGAGGCAUUCCAAAAAAAAAGAAAAGAAUUCCUUCAAUCUAAAUAGUUACAACAGCAGGAGAAGACAGAAUUUCAAUGUGACCACAACCAGAAAUGGAACAAGAAGUCAACUGUAAAACACGCACACACACACACACACACACACACACACACACACACACACACACACACACACACACACAUUCCAGCGAGCUAAAUUACCAUUAGUCAGAGUUGCUGGGAUGAUUUUGGUUUGACACAGACACUGUGGUUGGCAGACCAAAAAAAGCAUCUGAGAAAGCCAUAAACGAAUAUGUUACCUGCCCUAACACGCUUACACACACACACACACACACACACGCAGUAUAAUACAAGCAUCACUCAGGGAUUACAAAGGCCGUAUGAGUGUGCACAAUCCAAAAUACAAAAAAGAUAUUGUGAAAGAACAAAUCAGUACAUCAUAAAAUGUUGCAAUGAGGAGAUGUUUUUCGAGCUCUCCGGGGAAGUCAGAGUGAGGCUAUGAUGAUGGCUUAGUGCUUUGUGAUCACACACACACACACACACACACACACACACACACACACACACACACAUAAACACUAACACACUCGCAGGACUUGCUGACUUUCAGCAGCCUGCUGUGUGCCAAGGUUAUGAAAUAAUUUGCGUGUGCGCCUAUCAACACAAUUCUUAUUUGCUUCUUUGCCUCCAUUCAAGCCGAGACACGACUUGAGGAAUGAUAAAAAUAGAACCUUGCUGACCUUUCUCUCUCUCUCUCUCUCUCUCUCUCUCUCUCUCUCUCUCUCUCUCUCUCUCUCUGUCAUGGCCAUCUCUAUUCUCUCAUCCCCCCUUCUCUCUCUCUCUCUCUCUCUCUCUCUCUCUGUCUCUAAUCUGAUAUUGAUGCAGCUGUCUUGCUCCAGUUGGGUAACGCUUGUGCGCUAACACAGGCAAAGGGGUGUUUGGGGUCGAGGACUUUUUUUUACUCUCCCCUGUGGGAAAUGUGGCUUUCAUCAACACAAUACAUUCUCCCAAAAAAAACUAAACAUAGAGAAACAUAAGAUCAAAUGCAACAAUAGGCCGAGUAGUUUCAAUGAGUUUUGUUUGGUGCAGUUUUGUUGCAAAUAUGCGGUGCCGAGUGCAGAAUAAACUCGAACAUUUCAAACUUUUUGAACGGGCUCAAAUUACGAGUCGCCACAGUAUUUGGAUGAAGACAAACAGAAAAAUAAUUCAGGGCUAAAUGCACCCACGCUCUGGUUCAUU
ensembl:lncRNA